UAGUGUUCUUCAUGGCGAGCAGACGGCACCAGGAGAAAUGGAGCCCCUGCCAUUGUGUGAGUCGUAGCAGUACAGGAGGGGAGACCCUGAAGGAAACAGCCCGAUUAAAUUGAAGCCUGCAGAUUGAAUUCCAGAGGCUUAGGAGGAGUUCUUCA
rnacentral:lncRNA from 1 species